rnacentral:rRNA from 1 species
UACAGAGGUCUCAAGCGUUGUUCGGAUUCAUUGGGCGUAAAGGGUGCGUAGGCGGUGGGGCAAGUCAGGUGUGAAAUUUCGGAGCUUAACUCCGAAACUGCAUUUGAUACUGCGGUGCUUGAGGACUGGAGAGGAGAUUGGAAUUCACGGUGUAGCAGUGAAAUGCGUAGAUAUCGUGAGGAAGACCAGUGGCGAAGGCGGAUCUCUGGACAGUUCCUGACGCUGAGGCGCGAAGGCCAGGGGAGCAAACGGG